GUGGGCUGCCACCGCGCUGGGGAGCAUAGUGCGGCGCCAACUGGCCUGCUGCGCGCCCGCCUGUCGCCCGCGCGCACGGCACCCGGAGCCGCAGCUUCUCGCCGCCACCUCCUGCAGGGCUGGAGCGCGCGGGGCCGGGCGGGGAGGAGAGGCCACCCGGGACGGCGGCGGACUUGGAACGAUAUUAUUUAUUUGCGUUGGGCGUUUUUUUAAGGGAUGGGAGGAGUGAGUGUGGGAGGGGGAAGCUGUGGGUUUCUCCGGCCGACGGCGUAGGCUCUGGGAGCGCCGGGGGGAGUCUCUCCCCCUCUCUAUGCAGAUCUGGACGGUUUUUUUUUUUUUUUUUUUUGGUUUUUUGUUUUGUUUUGUUUUUGUUUUUUCUGGAAGGACGGAAGGUGUGUCCAGAACAUCCAUUCAUGUCACCAGUCCCACAAAGUGACAGACACGGCCAACAAUAAAGUGGAACUUCAGUUCAGAUGAUGCAAUGAAAGCUGCAGACCUGGGAUCUGAA
rnacentral:antisense_RNA from 1 species